AUGGGCCAUCGGCUUCCUCCUUCCUCGGCCAUGGAUGCGAGCGGUGGUUGUUGUAGCUCGGGGGAGCAGGGAAGACUGUCGGCGGCCUCGAGCAUGGCCGGAGCUAGCUUGUCUGCAGAGCAGCCCGCCAGGGCCGUGGGAGACGGUGACCCCAUGACCUCCCGAAGCCAGGAUCUGAUAGGAAUCGGCGUCUUGCUCGCCGACCGGGAAGAGGGCAAGGGCGGGUCAAACUCUUGCUCGGUAGUGGGCCGGGGGCUGGGCGGCUGGCGGCUAGAGAUGCUUUGGGUGGCAGGGCUCCGGUGGUGGCAUGUGGCUGUGGAGGGAAGAAGGUCACGGUGGAAGUUGGAGGAAGGUCGUGGUGGCAAGUGGAGCAAGCUCGCGCGGUGA
rnacentral:rRNA from 1 species